UAUCAGUCAUGCAUAGCAUAUCAAUAAGCGGAGGAAAAGAAACUAACAAGGAUUCCCUUAGUAACGGCGAGUGAAGCGGGAAGAGCUCAAAUUUGAAAUCUUCAAGGUUUUACCUUGACGAAUUGUAGUUUAAAGAAGUGUUUUCUGUUGAAGUUUUGGUAAAAGUUCUUUGGAAUAGGACAUCAUAGAGGGUGAGAAUCCCGUAUUUGACCAUUACUUUCAGCUUUGUGAUACACUUUCAAAGAGUCGGAUUGUUUGGGAAUGCAGUCCAAAAUGGGUGGUAAAUUUCAUCUAAAGCUAAAUAUUGGCGAGAGACCGAUAGCGAACAAGUACCGUGAGGGAAAGAUGAAAAGAACUUUGAAAAGAGAGUUAAACAGUACGUGAAAUUGUCAAAAGGGAAGCGUUUGACACCAGUGUUGUUUUCUCGAAAAUCAAUUAAAAAGAGUUGGAUUUUGUGUUGUAUUGACUUUAUCAGCUUUCUUCACUCUUUUCCAGCUUUUUUUAAUGCACUUUUCGUUUAACAAGUCAACAUCAGUUUCUUUUGUUGUAAAAAGGUCAUUGGAAGGUGGCUUUCUCUUCGGAGAAAGUGUUUAUAGCCUUUGACUCAUGCAAUCGGAGAGACUGAGGUCUGCAGCGUAGAUCCUUCGGGGUUAGAUACAUUUGUGCUAAGUUAUAGCUUUUCAUAGACAACUUGUUGACUAUGUUUAAUCUUGUAGCUUACUCGCUUAUGCUAUUUUACCUACGCUUAGGAUGUUGAACUCUAUCACACACAG
rnacentral:rRNA from 1 species